CAAUAGCGUAUAUUAAAGUUGUUGCAGUUAAAAAGCUCGUAGUUUGAUUUCUGGACGGGCGCCAACACCCGCUUGUUAGUGUGGAGGCGGCACCCGCCCAUCCUUCUGUUAACGCCGCCGGCAUUUGUUUGCUGGUGGCGGGCUCAGAUAUUUUACCUUGAGAAAAUUAGAGUGUUCAGGCAGGCUUGCGCCUAGAUACAUUAGCAUGGAAUAAUAAGAUAGGACCUCGGUUCUAUUUUGUUGGUUUCUAGAGCUGAGGUAAUGAUUAAUAGGGAUAGUUGGGGGCAUUCGUAUUUAACUGUCAGAGGUGGAAUUCUCAGAUUUGUUAAAGACUAACUUAUGCGAAAGCAUUUGCCAAGGAUGUUUUCAUUAAUCAAGAACGAAAGUUAGGGGAUCAAAGACGAUUAGAUACC
rnacentral:rRNA from 1 species